AUCCUUUUACAUAGUAAAAGAAAUGGUCUUUUUUAUAUUUUGAUAUUUUAUAUUUUGUUAUCACUUCUGUCCUCAGUUAUACAUAUAAUUAGAACUCAUAUAUUUUGUAAGGGAUUGUAAUAAAUUGCUCCAGUGUAUACAAUUAACUAUUAUGCACUUAUAAUCUGUUUUUGUAUCUGGCACCCUUAUGCCUUAGUUAACAUUUGCAAUGUCACAGACCUUAUCUUUAAAGAGAAAUAUAUUGAUAUUCCCUUAAUUGCUCUCAAUUAUCAAGAUCAGGUUCUAAUACCUUACAUUGUUCAAGAAACAAAUUUGCGUCAAGAAAAUGUCAUAGUACAUUCCGUUCAUACUCAAGAAGUUGUUCUAAAAGAACAAAAUUCACACUCUCAAGAACCAUUGCCAUUAAAAAGAUCCACUAGAGAGAGAAGAAUGACAAUUUCAUAUGAUUAUAUUGUAUUU
rnacentral:lncRNA from 1 species